CAGCACCUCAAGUGGUCAGGAUGAUUAUUGGGCCUAAAGCAUCCGUAGCCGGCGCUGUAAGUUUUCGGUUAAAUCUGUACGCUCAACGUACAGGCUGCCGGGAAUACUGCAGCGCUAGGGAGUGGGAGAGGUAGACGGUACUCGGUAGAAAGGGGUAAAAUCCUUUGAUCUAUUGAUGACCACCUGUGGCGAAGGCGGUCUACCAGAACACGUCCGACGGUGAGGGAUGAAAGCUGGGGGCACAAACCGGAUUAGAUACCCCGAGUAGUCC
rnacentral:rRNA from 1 species